UACGAAGGGUGCAAACGUUGCUCGGAAUCAUUGGGCGUAAAGCGCACGUAGGCGGCGCUCUAAGUCGGAUGUGAAAUCCCUCGGCUCAACCGAGGAAGUGCAUCCGAAACUGGAGUGCUCGAGUAUGCAAGAGGGUCGCGGAAUUCUCGGUGUAGAGGUGAAAUUCGUAGAUAUCGGGAGGAACACCAGUGGCGAAGGCGGCGACCUGGGGCAAUACUGACGCUGAGGUGCGAAAGCGUGGGGAGCAAACAGGAUUAGAUACCCCCGUAGUCC
rnacentral:rRNA from 1 species